ACAACCAUUUACAGGGCUUAGUGAAGUGUGAACAAGGUACGGCGAUAGGAGAAAUUUUAACAAAAAAAAUAUAUCAUAACCAAAAGCUCAACUUGUACAGAACUCAGGUUACAUCAUCAUC